ensembl:lncRNA
GUUCCUCGGUGACUAACUUGCUACAAGAUGUUAUUAUAAGUGCAUACAAAGUUAUGCUUUUAACAACAAACAAAUGCUGUGUCCUGGUUUUGCAUUAGAGAUUGCUUCCUUGGCAGCAAAGCUGGUCCAAGGUAGGAGCUAAUGUUGGGAUGGCUGGAAGUGGUGCUGGUAGGAGGGCAGAAAUAUUUACUGAGCACAUUUGGGCUGGGGGUGGGACAUCAUAGAGAACCAUGAGAGCUCAGCAGGGUGCAAAAAGGCAAGGAGGAUGGGAAGGAGGAGGGUGGGGGGCAACAUGUUCACAAGUGCUUGGGUACUGACCCAGCUCCCUUCUGUCAGGUGGGGGAUGGACAGGACUUCAAUGCGAGCCCAACACUGAGAGUUUUUACAGUCCCCUGCUGUGUGUGUAACACACUCAGACCACCCGCUCACCCCAACCCACGCUGUGGGAGAGGCAGAGAGAAAGCACAUGUGAGGGGCUCAUUUUUCUACCGUGUAGGUCUGCUCUUUCUUUUCCUAAGGGUGUAUGCAUGUGCCUACCUGUGUAAGUUGAAUGCUGUCUGUGCUUGCUCUGUGUUUGGUCCUGAACAGCAGGUAGAUGGAGGAUGCACGUAAACCAUGAGCUGUACAGGUUUAUGGAAACAGCCAACUCAUGUGACUUUUCCAUUCCUUCUCUGAUGCUCUCAUCCAUUCACAGAAAAAUCAAAAAUGCAGGAGUGAGCUUUGAUGUACAUGCUAUUCAUGAAUUUAUUUUUGUGUUGCUGUCUCUUCUCUGACACCCUCAUCCAUUGCUUCAGCUGGAUAAAUGUUUCAUUAAUGACCAGUCCUCCUGUUUGAGGUAGCAGCAUGCCCACGUUUUGUAAUACAUGCAUUGGUUUUGUUUUGGUUUUUGUUUUUAUUUUACCUUUAGGAUUUUGUUUUCUCCUUAAGCUCUCCACUCAGUGUUUACCAUCUGAGUAUAUGGAUCUCAUAGACCCUGGUGCUCCCAGUAUGGGUUCCUUCACCUGCUGCUGUGAGCACCAGUCCCGUGGGCAUCACUUGUCUGCUGGGCUUUGUGACACCCACACUUGCUGCAAACAAAGCAAGCAGGGUAAGGCAUUUGGAAGUCUCCUGAAAUCCUACAACUCGGUGUUUAGCCAAAUUCAAGGGAAAGUGCAACAGAAUAAGAUACACCUACCUGCCUGUCCUAGUUGUGUGAGUGCUGUUUGGA